rnacentral:tRNA from 1 species
GUGUAUGUUGCUCAGUGGUAGAGUACUUGCUUAACAUGUUAGAGGUCUUGGGUUUGAUCCUCAGCACCACA